UCCAGUUUUUCAAAAAUAAAAUUGAGAAUUCAUACUUUUUUAAUAUUGUAAUCGCAACAUAUAAGCGAAUAAUCACAAUAUACCUAAAUUCAAAAUUCGUGGUAUUAUAGAGUAUUUUUAUACUAAAAUUUGUGCUUUAUGUCACAAUACACAAUAACUGACUAUUUUGUUUCAAUUAACGAUUUAAUUUUAUUGAAAAAUUGGUUACGAUUAAUUGAAUCGAACAAUCGAUUAUUCGACAAUAUAAUUGCUAGAAUUUUAAGUUAAAAUAACACGGGAAAUAAAUUAUUAUGGCACUAACAAGCAGUAAAUCUUGGAAACUAAACUAAUGAUAAAAGGCUUGAAUAUUCUGCAUUUUACACUGUAACACUCAAAAUAAUACCAACCGUCUGUAAUAAUGACUCCGAAAGUGAAGAGGAAUGAAUUGAAGUGGACAACGCAAGGCACUUCCACACAAGCCAGUACAAAACCAACCAGAUAUUCAGACGUCUUUGUUCAACGCGUAAAGCUAUACAUUUGUAGACGCCAAGCAUUGCAAGCUAACAAAAACUCUUGAUAAAAAUGGAUAAUUUUUCAUUCUCACAUGUGAAAGGUAAUAAUAAAAUUUUUUUUAGUGUCGCUAAAAUUUAGUUGAAAUUUAGGAAAGGAAAAAUAAAGAGCCAGGAAAGAACAUCAUUAAAGUUGAAAUGGAUAAAAUGUACUUUACUUUACUUAAUUAAAACAAUGGUAAACCGUCAGGCAUGUCAAUGAUAAUCAAUGUAUGGACCGACAUUAAUCUAAACAGCAAGAUUAACAUUACUUCACUUGGCCUAUUAAAAAAUCAGUGCGACAACUGGGGUGUUUAAAAUAAAGGAAGAAGCGCAACUGACUACAUCUCUGAUGUACUAAUGGAGUUGUUAAAAAACUUUUAUAUCGCCAAAAGUCAGAUUACGGCAGUUAUGACAGACAAUGAUGCGAAUAUGGUGAAAGCGAUACCCACAAACAUUGGAAAAUACCGUCAUACUCAAGUUUCGCUCCCACUUUGAAUUUAGUUAGCGCGAUUGCCUUGGAAGUGUAUUCUGUUUAAUUAUCCAAUGCCGUACAAUUUUAGUUUGGUUGAAGUGCAGCGGAAAAGCAAAAGCAGCUGUCUGCUGGAAGCUUCUACCAGUCAGAUAAGGGCAACUAUUAAUUGUGAACGCCAGCAAAUAAUAAUAAUAAUAUAAAGGAUUUGACGGCAGUUUCAGAAAUAGAUUAAAGGUUUGGAUGUAGAAUUUGUUCUAUGGUCCCACCACAAGACGAUGGCACAAAAACUUCGUAAGAAUGAUGAUCAAAUUCAAGGCUGCCUAAACUUUUCCUUAAAUGCUCCAAUGUUGGAGCUUAAACGCAACGUCGCUAAUACCUGGGAGAAGAUGCGAUUAUUAUAAAUACAUAUGUACAUAUCCAAAGUUAUACAGUAUUGCCUGCCAAUAUUUUCUUAUUGGCACUUCGGUAGAGGGUCUUGUUCCAAGGCGGGAACUAGUAAGUUACUAGUAGUAACACCGUGCUACUGCCACUGAAAAAAGAAACCGAAUAAUGAUUAUUGUAAUGUAUGUAUUUGUAAUUGUUGUUAGUACAAUUUGCAUUGCACAUGUCCAACUAUAAAAUAAUUGCUCUGUAAAGUAAAUACAAAAAAAAAAACAUUUGAAUAAAUCGAUUAUUUUCAAUUA